rnacentral:rRNA from 1 species
GGUUACCUUGUUACGACUUCACCCCAGUCAUGAAACACAAAGUGGUAAUCGUCCUCCCGAAGGUUAGACUAACUACUUCUUUUGCAUCCCACUCCCAUGGUGUGACGGGCGGUGUGUACAAGGCCCGGGAACGUAUUCACCGUGACAUUCUGAUUCACGAUUACUAGCGAUUCCGACUUCAUGGAGUCGAGUUGCAGACUCCAAUCCGGACUACGAAACGUUUUGUGGGAUUCGCUCACUCUCGCGAGGUUGCAGCCCUCUGUGCGUUCCAUUGUAGCACGUGUGUAUCCCACGCCGUAAGGGCCAUGA